CCUACGGGAGGCAGCAGGGAGGAAUAUUGGUCAAUGGGCGCGAGCCUGAACCAGCCAAGUAGCGGGAAGGAUGACGGCCCUACGGGGUGUAAACUUCGUUUAUAAAGGAAUAAAGUGAGGCACGUGUGCCGUGUUGUAUGUACUUUAUGAAUAAGGAUCGGCUAACUCCGUGCCAGCAGCCGCGGUAAUACGGAGGAGCCGAGCGUUAUCCGGAUUUAUUGGGUUUAAAGGGAGCGUAGAGGGGUUGUUAAGUCCGUUGGGAAAGUUUGCGGCUCAACCGUAAAAUUGCAAUUGAUACUGGCAGCCUUGCUUCCAGUUGAGGUAGGCGGACUUCGUGGUGUAGCGGU
rnacentral:rRNA from 1 species